rnacentral:rRNA from 1 species
UACGUAGGGUGCAAGCGUUACUCGGAAUUACUGGGCGUAAAGCGUGCGUAGGUGGUUUUUUAAGUCCGUUGUGAAAGCCCUGGGCUCAACCUGGGAAUGGCAGUGGAUACUGGAAAGCUAGAGUGCGGUAGAGGGUAGUGGAAUUCCCGGUGUAGCAGUGAAAUGCGUAGAGAUCGGGAGGAACACCAGUGGCGAAGGCGGCUACCUGGACCAGCACUGACACUGAGGCACGAAAGCGUGGGGAGCAAACAGGG